rnacentral:rRNA from 1 species
CGUAACACGUAAGCAACCUGCCCCAAAGACCGGGACAACAUUCCGAAAGGAGUGCUAAUACCGGAUGUGCCCAUCUGUUGACAUCUACGGAUGAGUAAAUCAAGCAAUUGGCUUUGGGAGGGGCUUGCGGCCUAUCAGCUAGAUGGUGGGGUAACGGCCUACCAUGGCGACGACGGGUAGCUGGUCUGAGAGGAUGGUCAGCCGGAUUGGGACUGAGAUACGGCCCAG